AAGCUGAUGAAUGUCCUUUGACAUAUUGUGUUGAUUUAAUAUCUUCUCGAAUUCACAUUAAUUCAUUGUUUACAUCAAUCUUUGCACCUUUCCCUUUGCUGAAAUCUGCUUUAAGUGUGUUUUUCAUUGAAAAUGGUAGCAAUUUGAGGUGUGCUUUGGUAUACAGAAAAUACCCCUGGUGGGAUUUGUCUGGUUGUCCGGACAGGUUGCCAUGGUGAAGGUAGUGAUUAAAGCUAUUAAAGCUGCAGGCGUAGGGUUAAAUGGGAGCUCUGACUGCUCCUGCUGUCACAAAUUAAACAGAAAGAGAGAGACAGAGCAGAAAAGAAUGGGAAAGACAUGAAAAGAUGGAAUUAGAAGGAAAAAAAUCCACCAAGACAAAAAAAAAGUGUGGGUGAGCAAAAUGUGAUUAGUUGCGCUCAAAGCAAGGCAGGAUCCUAAUUGAUUUCUUUUUACAGCAGAUGAAAUAAAAGGUUAUGGUGUUCCAACAAUAACUUUCCUAUCUAAGCCCAGACAGGGGGGGUUUAUCACACUGUAAAAGACAGAGGUCGUUCAUCAUCACAGUCUGAUGUGUACUACAGGAGCUUAGGGUGUAGCGCAGGAAGCGUGUGUGGAUGUGCAUGCGUGAGGCUCAGCCGUCUGGGAAACGGAAAUCCAAGGCAGAACUCUCUUGAUCAGGAUUAUGUCAGUUUUCCUCUCGCUUUAGAAUGCCAAAGACAAUCAAUACAAAAAGGAUCACACUAUAAUCAUCGGCUCUGAGGAUACUGGCAAACGUGUCUGGGUGAAAGCAGUACAGAGCUACACAAGAUCAUGACAUAAUAAUCGCUGAAUAUCAUACACGGUGCCAACUAAACAACUACAGCUAAAGAGCAAAAAAGAAUCCAAAAUAAUUAUGAAACAUGAAACAAUUCUUUAAAAACGGGCAGCUGGCUCAAAUUAAGUACUGAACUACUGAACCUAUACUAAUAAAUAGAGAGGAAAAAACAUCUGUUUUUUUAAUGCUUUUUUUGGACACAGUCUAAUUAUAUGUAUAAUACAAUGCAAUUACGAACAACACCAUAUAUUUCACAAUGCACUAAGAAAAAAACCCUAAAGAACUUAGUGUGUCUGUAAGUAUUCUUGUUUUUCAGGGAUGACUGAAUGAACAACACUCUUAUAUAAAGAGGGAAAGUAAGAGAGGCGAGGAUGAGACAGUUUGGACAUGUGCAGAGGAGGGACAGUGGAUAUGCUGGACAGAGGAUGCUGAAGAUGGAGCUGCCAGCCAGGAGAGAGGAAAGACGAUGACCACUGAAGAGACACGUGGAUGUCACGCAGAGGGUUGGUGUGACAGCAGAGAAUACUAAGGAUAGGGUGAGGUGGAGGCAGAUGAUCCAAUAUGGCAAGCCCUGAAGAGAGCAGCCGGAUAAAGGACAAGUAAAAAGAAGAAGAAUAUGAAGACCCUUUUGUUUCCAUUAAUCAUCUGGAAAUUUAUUGUGUCAGUCUCAUGCCUGAGCAAGCACCCCAGUGGCUUUUUUGUAAAAGUCACAAUGACGAGGUUAAAAGAAAAAUCAGCUUAGAUGCAGUAUGUCUUUGUCUGUCUUUCACACAGACAGGCAAAGACACGUGAGAGUACUUACUGAUGUUGUUCUGUGUUCUACCAAUCACAGCAAUCAAGUAAGUGAUGCUUAAUAAA